UUACCUUCCAUUGGUGGCAGCCACCCCCACCCUAUCCUACCCCAAAUUUUCGUGCAUAGCCUCCCCAAAAGCAAGAGUGGCUGCAAACUUCUCCCAUUCCAUUCAUUUUCACUCCAAGAAAGUGCUAAGGCAAGAAAGUGCUCUCACUCUCUUCUCCCCUCUCCAUUUUCGUCCCUCCACAUCUCCCCCACUCCCAAGACUCUUCUUCCACCAUUAUCACACUCCAUAGAAGCCCUUGAAGCCCCAAGAGGAGUAUCAAAGCAAGGGAGAGCAUGGGAAAACUAGGGCGUAAAGUUAGAGUGAAGGUUGUGCUUCGAGGGAAUUGGUUCACAGGACGGUACCACCGCUUAAGAUCACCUCUCUUCCAUACCGAGGAUCAGGUUGAGCAGUGGCUGAUGGAGAUGAAGUGAAGAGCGGAGCUUUUGUCAUAGGUUAAAUGAAUGAACUCUUGGAUACAUGUCUCCAUACAUGUAAUCAGAUUAUGUUAUUCCGCU